AGUGAACGCUGGCGGUAGGCCUAACACAUGCAAGUCGAACGGCAGCACAGUAAGAGCUUGCUCUUACGGGUGGCGAGUGGCGGACGGGUGAGAAAUACAUCGGAAUCUACUUUUUCGUGGGGGAUAACGUAGGGAAACUUACGCUAAUACCGCAUACGACCUACGGGUGAAAGCAGGGGAUCUUCGGACCUUGCGCGAUUGAAUGAGCCGAUGUCGGAUUAACUAGUUGGCGGGGUAAAGGCCCACCAAGGCGACGAUCCGUAGCUGGUCUGAGAGGAUGAUCAGCCACACUGGAACUGAGACACGGUCCAGACUCCUACGGGAGGCAGCAGUGGGGAAUAUUGGACAAUGGGCGCAAGCCUGAUCCAGCCAUACCGCGUGGGUGAAGAAGGCCUUCGGGUUGUAAAGCCCUUUUGUUGGGAAAGAAAAGCAGCAGGUUAAUACCCCGCUGUUCUGACGGUACCCAAAGAAUAAGCACCGGCUAACUUCGUG
rnacentral:rRNA from 1 species